ACUGAUUUUCUCUAUGAGGUUUGGUGUGGGAGAGUGAGUGGGUUUUGUUGUGUGCCAGGUUCAGACUGAAGUUGUGUCUUCCACAUUUAAAAAAAACCAGGAACUGUCCCUUUAAUCUUGUGUCCUGUCUCAGGUCACAUCGGCGUCUCCGUCCCCGACGUUUCUGCCGCCUGCAGAGUUUUUGAGGAGCGUGGAGCCACGUUUGUCAAGAAGCCAGACUCAGGGAAAAUAAAGGACCUGGCCUUCAUUCAGGAUCCAGACGGAUACUGGAUCGAGAUUUUAAGUCCAGACAACAUGGUCACCUUGAUGUCACCUUAAAGAAAGAGCCUGCGUCUCCUCUUCUGUUCCUAAUGAUGUGAUGUUUGUAAAAAUAAACCUUCAAAUGACGA